CCAAAACUGUCAGAGACCACGACGUGGCAAGCAGUGCCACGACGUGGCAAGUCUCCUGACACCUCCGGGAGUCCCCCAGAUGCAACUUGCGAUGACGCAUGCAGUGACGACCAAGCCCACGACGUGGAAAAAGGUUGCCACGACGUGGCAAGGGCCAAAUUUGCCCUAUAAAUAGAUUUGAAGGGCCAGCCGAGUAUGGUUGCUCAUUCUCUCUUCUCUCUCUCCCGUUUUGCAUCGUUUUGCGUGCCAGAAAUAACCCGAAGCCCCGGUAUUAUUCUCUAGCCCUGAGGCAAGUCCCGAGAUCCCGAAGAUCCCGAAAAGUGCGGUUCCCGAGCCGAAGCUCUGCCCGCGAGAAGUUCGAUUUUUGUGGAGAUCUUCCAGAUCUGCUGAGGAUUACUACUUCUGCAAGUCGUAGUGCUGUCCGAUCAUCUUCUGAUCAAGUGAGUGUAUACUACCUUUCAUAAACACGAUAAUAAUACAAGUAUGGUUUGAGUGUAUUAAGUAUAUUGUUGUUUAUAUGUGUGAGUGUGUAGUUACUUUCUUCUAACACAUAAGUAUGAAGUAUUUGCUAUGAAAUACGUGCUAUGUGUUUAUAUAUUAUUGUUCUAUUUGAGAUGGGCGUGGAAUUGAUGUUUUACAUAAGUGUUAAAUGAUUUAAACUGUGUAAGUAUUUAUAUCUACGAAAAUGUUGGGUAGAACUUGGGUAGAUGGGAUAGUUGGUGACUAUGGAGUUAGCGCCUAUUGUAUAAACCUUGGCGACGAUGUGACUUCGUGCCUAUUUGAUGAACCUUGGCGACUAUGGAGUUAGCGCUUGUUGAGUAAACCUUGGCGACUAUGGAGUUAGCGCUUGUUGAGUAAACCUUGGCGACUAUGGAGUUAGCGCUUGUUAAGUGAACCUUGGUGACUAUGGAGUUAGCACCUGAUAACUAUGGAUUUAGUACUUGAUAAAUAAACUUUGGCAGUAAUGGAAUUCGUGCCAAUUCCUUACGAAUAAAUGAAUGAAGGAUAGUUGGUUCUUAGGGUAAAACCUUAAGAAGAUAAUGGGGAUGGGUAAUUGGGUUGAUUGUUUGCUGAUUAAAUAUAAUAAUUAUAUUAUUGUGGGUUGAAAACCCUAUAUGCUCACCAGGCUCCCAAGCCUGACCCACUCAGUUUUCUUUUCAUUACAGGUAAUGGCACAAGGGUAUAAGUUGGUGGACUUGACGAGAGAUUUUGGAUUAUAGAUCAGUAGUUAAAUAACUAUUGUAAGGUCUAUUUUAUAUUGUUUAUGCUUUUGGUCUGUAUCGAACAUGACAUCCCAAGGUUUUAUUAUUUAAUGAAAAUACAUUCUCUUUGAGAAAUGUUUGGAUAAAUGGUUAUCAUAUUUUUGUUUUUGGGAACAAAUUCCGCAACAGUUUUCUUUAAACGAUUACUCUGAUUUUAAAAAAAAAGCAUAAACAAAUCGGUCUUUUCUGGCCGUGAAAUUGGGGAUGUCACAGUUGGUAUCAGAGCAUUAGUUUAAGCGAACUAGGAAUAUGGAUUUAUUUCUAGACUUAAACUUAGAAUGCUAAGCAAUGAUUGUGAGUUGAGUGUGUCCAUUAUAUUUUAGGUAGUACACCUAAAUUGACACAGGCACUAGUUUAUUUUAGGAAAAUUGCCUAAAAUGCUAUUAUGUGCUAAUUGUUAUAUGUUUGCCAUAUAUGAUGUUAAUUGUUCGGAUCUAUGGUCUGUUGCCGACCGGAUCUGGAAACCUUAUGUGUUUAGGAUUCUAAGCGUACGUCUACGAUAUUAGAACUAGCAUGUAAACGUUUCGGAGUGAUAAGGAUGAUUUGAAUAUCUAUUUUGAAUAAGGAUCUAAUUUCACCUUAUUGGGUGUGUAGAUCAAAAAUGGUGAGAACAAGAAGUGGAGUUGGAAAUGCUGAUGAAAACAGGAAUCAACCACCAGUGAUUGAGCAAAUACCUAUCGUAGCAGCAGCACCUGAGCUGAUAACAAUGGUUGGUGUACAAUUGAUGAUUCAAACGAUUUUGGAUCGUCAAAUAGAGGAGACUAGACGGUUGAUUCAACAUAAUCGUGAAGAACUGUCAAUUCAAGUGGAAGAGCCCGAAUUAAAUGAAGGGCACUCGGAAGGUGGAAACUUCAGUGGAUCGGUUGGUCAAGCCAACCCACCGAUAGUUAGGCAAAACAACCAUGAUGGAAGGAAUGAUGGAAUGGGAUGCAAGUACAAGGACUUUCUAACUUGCAAACCAUCGACCUUCACUGGAAAGGAGGAUCCGAUCGGAGUGAUGGAUUGGAUCUCCGAAAUGGAGUUAGCCUUCAUGACUUGUGGCUGCAGAGGCAAGUUGCAGACUACCUAUGCAGUGCGUCAGUUCCGAGGUGGAGCCGUUCAUUGGUGGAACACUCUAGGGAAGACUUUAAGCCCUAAUGAGCCACUGCAAUUGUCAUGGGCAGAGUUCUUGGCGCAGUUCAAGCACAAGUUCUACUCGGCUCAAAAUCUGUUGGAAUUGGAGAAUAAGUUUCUGACAUUGACGAAAGGCAGCAUGUCAGUUGAUGAAUACACUAAUAACUUUACAGACAAGAUGGAUUUUGCUUUGCGCAUCGUUCUAGAUGAGCUGGCAAAGGUUGACCGGUACGCAAAGGGACUCUCAUGGGAGUAUGCAGUGCCAGUUUGUCAGGCGCCUAGUCUAGAGGCAGCUAUCUGGGCUGCUAAGUCUGUUGAAGAUAUGAUUAAGGGAAGAACCGCCAGAAAGGUUGAAGUUGGCGAGAAAAGAAAGAUUAAAGGAUCUUCAAGGUCCGAUGAGAAGAGAAAAUUUUCGAAGUCUGAUGCGAAGAAGCUCGAAGAAGGAGCACAAUGGUGUGACAAGUGCAAAAGGAAGCACAUUGGGGAAUGCUCUAAAGAAAUGAAAUGUUUCAAAUGCGGGAAGACAGGUCAUUACGCCAGCAAAUGCCCAAACAAAAGAGAAGCCUGCUUCAAGUGUGGUGAAGAAGGACACUUCAAACAAAACUGCCCAGGAAGGGAAGAAAUUACAAAGCCAAAUGUGCCGCCAAGGCCAAAGGCAAGAGCAUUUCAAAUGAUCCUUGAUGAAGCAGAUGGCAAUGCAAGGAAUCAGGAAUGAGGAUUUUAUAUCCAAAGAUCAAGUUAUAAAGUAGCGAUAUGAAAAGUAACAUGUGGUGUAGCCUAUUAGAGGCAUAGUAUAGGGUGAACNCUGAACUUGAAAUUUUGUGUAAUCAUUUCAAGGAAUUAAUAUAAACCCUAGUUUUACUAACUGAUGUGUUGAAUGAUUGUCUGAUUUUCUUGUAUGGUGAAUUGGUCGACUGCGGGACAAUACUUGGGACAAGUAUGAGUAGGUGUGAAAGGUAGUAGAUGCAUAUACUACCGGAAGCACAGGACUCGCAUUUGGAUCAGGGAAAAGUCACAAGGUUACCAAGAAGCUAGUAAUUGAUUUCGUUUUGUUCAAAUGUGUCAUUACCCUUGUUUCGGUAGUGACUAGUAAGAUGAUUGUUAAUCCGACCCUAGUGGUCAUAUUCAAAUUGAGUCCGACUACGGUGAGUAUGUUACGUGGUUCAAAGAACCAAGUUCGAAGUAACACUGGACGUAAGUCAGAGAUUGAAGUUAAUGCGAUCAUUGGUAUCGCACUCGUUGUUCAUAAAGUUUGUAGCUAGAAAUGCUACAUGCUGGAAUGUGAUUAUAUCACAUUAGAAUAUGAAGGAAGGUAUAUUCCAUUCUGGAAUUUAACUUUAAAAAGACCGAUUCUAAGUGUUGCAUUGUGCGAUGAGAGGUCAAUAGAGCACGACCUAUCGAUCUGUUACAAUAGAUAAAGGAAAGUAUUUAUACUAAAAAGAAGAAGGAGUCCACAAUAAGGACUUAUUUGGUAACUCGAAGGUUACGAUCGAAAGUACAACAUAGUACGAUAAGCAGAUGCAAGAUUGGGCAUCGUCUGCGGUCAAGAAAGCCAUAGAGUUAAAUACUCUAUCGAGGAAAACAUAGAAGUUACGGUUAUUACCUAGGAUGAAGAGAUAANAGAAGUUACGGUUAUUACCUAGGAUGAAUAAAUAACGUGUGGAAUCAUUAUGCAAGUCCUAUUUCGUUGAUGAUUCCGGGACGUAAUCAUCCUAAGGGGGAGAUAAUUGUAACGCCCGUAGAUCCGGGCUAGUCAAAUUAGAGACGAUAAGCAUCAAACAUGACUUUUUGAUGGAAGAUUAUUUAGAAGGAUUAAUCUUGACCAAGUUUUAGUAUAUGUCACAAGGUUUCCGUGCAUAUAAAGAACGCCAAAAUCCGAGUUAUAACGAAGAAGUUAUGACCUGUCGAAGUUUCGCGACAGAACCGGCACGACCUAGCACGACCCAGCGCGACGUAAAUAGUGAAUUUAAGGUAGAUAGAUAUCUAUCCUUAGUGAUCUAAACAAGAUUCGAAGAUUUCUUCGAUAGUAGUCCAACGAUAAAAAGACAGACGAAAACGGAGUUCAGAUGAAGGAGUUAUGAAUUUCGAACGGAGUUUUCCUGUCCCGGCCUACUAAAGAUAAUAUAUAAGUAAUAUACUUAUAAUAUAUUAAAAAUAAAGUCAAAAUUAGCCAAUGGAGUCUAAACGAGAGUUGUAGAGCAUAAUCUCACCUUCGCGGCGAUAUAAAGAACGUCGAAAACGGAGUUCGUAUGCGAAAGUUAUGAAUUUCUGAAGUUCGGGGCGCGAAACCCCAAAACUGUCAGAGACCACGACGUGGCAAGUCUCCUGACACCUCCGGGAGUCCCCCAGAUGCAACUUGGGAUGACGCAUGCAGUGACGACCAAGCCCACGACGUGGCAAAAGGUUCCACGACGUGGAAAGGGCCAGUUUUGCCCUAUAAAUAGAUUUGAAGGGCCAGCCGAGUUUGGUUGCUCAUUCUCUCAUCUCUCUCCCAUAUUACAUCGAUUUACGUGCAAAGAAGUACCCCCGAAGCCCCGGUAUCAACCCCGAGACCCGAAGCAAGUCCCGAAGCCCGAAGAUCCCGAGAAGAAAAGAGUUUCCGAGCCGAAGCUCUGCCCGCGAGAAACCCGGUGUGUGAAGUGAUCCCGGUUUCACCGAAGAAUACUACUUCUACAAGCCGUAGUGCUGUCCGAUCAUCUUCUGAUCAAGUGAGUGUAUACUACCUUUCAUAAACACGAUAAUAAUACAAGUAUGGUUUGAGUGUAUUAAGUAUAUUGUUGUUUAUAUGUGUGAGUGUGUGGUUACUUUCUUCUAACACAUAAGUAUGAAGUAUUUGCUACGAAAUACGUGCUAUGUGUUUAUAUAUUGUUGUUUAUUUGAGGUAUUGGUGGAAUGGAUGAACUAUAUAGAUUUUAAUGAGUUAAACUAUAUAUGUAAUUUAUAUCUACAAAUAUGUUGGGUAGGACAUGGGUAGAUGAGAUCCGUGAGUAUGGAUCAGAUCAAGAGGUUAGUUUUAGAUCCGUGAGUAGGGAUCAGAUCAAGAGGUUAGUUUUAGAUCCGUGAGUAGGGAUC
rnacentral:lncRNA from 1 species